GUGGAACCCAGAUGCCAAGUCAACUGGUUUUAAUGAAGCACCUCCUAAGAUGUUUUCUGAGAUUCUUUGGCUUUGGUGAUGAGUGAGAGCUGUCAGAAUCACAGGUGGGAGGAUGGAGAGAGGAAGGUUAUAUAAAAGAGAACUUAGUCACACCAAGACUGAAAACAGGCAGAAUCAUCCAAGAUCCACUUCUUCUAGACCCUUACUUCUUCUUUAUCAGGGCAGCAGGCAGUAACCAAGAAAGGAAACAGGAGGAGAAAGAAGGGGUUACAACAGAUGCAGAACCAGGAGUUGACUUCUCCAUCAGGCUCCCACCCAGCAUCUUUGGAGCAGAAACCGGAGGAGAGAGGCAUGGGGGAGCCUGACAGGAAGUGAGGAUUCUGGGACUUCAAAUACACACAUUAGAAAAAACAAGCAACAUCUGCAAACAGUUCCAUUCUUUCAUCGAAGACACUCUUGCAAAGGCACUUCCUGGACAGUUGCGUGUAACGGAGCAAUCUCCAAGCAGUGGGAAAUCAGAGACACCGAACUGUUAGCACCCUUAAUAUUUGGUUUCCCUUGUAGUUCAGCUGGCAAAGAGCCUGCUUGCAAUGCAGGAGACCCGGGUUCAAUUCCUAGGUUGGGAAGAUCCCCUGGAGAAGGAAAUGGCAACUCACUCCAGUGUUCUUGCCUGGAGAAUCCCAAGGACAGAGGGGCCUGGCGGACUGCAGUCCAUGGGGUCGCAAGAGUUGGACACAACUUAGCGGCUAAACCACAACCACAAUAUUGGUUAAUUCUGCAUCAUGAUUUCAGAAUUGAUUCUGGAAGACUCUUCUGGCUCCUCUACACCCUAGGUGCCUAGGCCAUUGGGUGACCUACUUUAUUUAGAAGGGGAUGGGGGAAAGGACCCUGACAUAGAAGCAGACAAUUGAUGCCUGCCUCGGCAACAUGUAAACAAAAUCCACGCACCUUGCCCUGGGGAUCGCCUUGGUAGUAUCUAGUUUGACAGAAUUUGCCAUUCAGCAUCUCGCGGACCAGGCGCCUCAACCUGCUAGAAAUUCUAGAGGGAAAAAUCACGCCUGAAUGACUGCUGUCUGUGGCCUGUGGAAUCCUAAAUAGAAUGAAGCAGGCCUCCGACAAUCAAUAUUACUGACAUAUUAAUCUCUGUGAAUAAACUGUUGUGCACUUUAAGGCUGUCCCAGUCCUCCCAAAUAAUCUUUUAAAUGCAGUGG
ensembl:lncRNA